rnacentral:rRNA from 1 species
AAGCUCGUAGUUGAAUUUCGUGCCUGGCUGGGCGGUCCGCUUAACGGCGUGUACUGUCUGGCUGGGUCUUACCUCUUGGUGAGCCGGCGUGCCCUUUAUUGGUGUGCGUCGGGGAACCAGGACUUUUACCUUGAGAAAAUUAGAGUGUUCAAAGCAGGCCUAUGCCCGAAUACAUUAGCAUGGAAUAAUAAAAUAGGACGUGCGGUUCUAUUUUGUUGGUUUCUAGAGUCGCCGUAAUGAUUAAAGGAGUAGUGGGU